rnacentral:rRNA from 1 species
UACGGAGGGUGCAAGCGUUGUCCGGAAUCACUGGGCGUAAAGCGCACGUAGGCGGACUCUUAAGUCGGUGGUGAAAUCCUGGAGCUCAACUCCAGAACUGCCUUCGAUACUGAGAGUCUCGAGUCCGAGAGAGGUGAGUGGAACUGCGAGUGUAGAGGUGAAAUUCGUAGAUAUUCGCAAGAACACCAGUGGCGAAGGCGGCUCACUGGCUCGGUACUGACGCUGAGGUGCGAAAGCGUGGGGAGCAAACAGG